GUAUGGCGACUCUCUGGAAGUCUGCAUAGAGUCCUCUUAAGGUCCCUUGUGGACUGGAUACAGUGUGGAUGAGGACAGACCCUCCGCGCUCACAGACUUCCCGAGCACGCGCACCCCAAUGUCCGCGAGUCUGAAGGUGAACUCCGGACUCACCUGCAUGUUUGCGACGGAGCUAAUUAAAGGAGUGAAAACUGAACAGAGAAAGGACACUUCUAUUUUAAUGCCAGUAACAACAAGUGUUAGCAGUUAGCACACAGUGAGCAGUGGACGUCACGUGACAACAUUCACAACUUGGAUUCAUUUUAAUGGAAACCUUUUGACUCUCCUGACCGGAGGACCCUAAUGGACUAAAGGAACAUACAUGAUGGAGGAAAGGACACAUAUUGGGACGUCCAAAGCUUGACAGUGGAUGUGAGUGUUGCUGGUUCACAAGAAAUGGCAUCGAGCAGGGCUGUCAGUUGCCCCACGAGGUCUCCUUUGGCAGCACCUGCAUGAAUGAAUCACUAAACAUGGAAACACUGGAAGGUGAGAGUCGACUAGGCUGGUGACAUAAAGAUGGCAUGAGAACCAACAACAUGAGCACCUGAAGUCUCACUCUUGGCCAGCUACACAAACCCCUCGCUGUGACUUGCAAAGAAAAGUGGAAAACAUAAGGACAAUCACCGUCAUGUUUUAAAGGACUGAAGAAAAGAAGAGUGUGCUACGAGAACAUGAGGCUGAAAAACUGCAGGCAUGAAAUAUAGAGAGGGAACAAAGGGAGAGAGGACCGGCUGAAAUCUGGCAACAAAAAAAAAAAUGUACUGAAGGAACACAGGACUGGGGGAA